rnacentral:misc_RNA from 1 species
GGAAUCUUCCACAAUGGGCGAAAGCCUGAUGGAGCAACGCCGCGUGGGUGAAGAAGGUCUUCGGAUCGUAAAACCCUGUUGUUAGAGAAGAAAGUGCGUGAGAGUAACUGUUCACGUUUCGACGGUAUCUAACCAGAAAGCCACGGCUAACUACGUGCCAGCAGCCGCGGUAAUACGUAGGUGGCAAGCGUUAUCCGGAUUUAUUGGGCGUAAAGGGAACGCAGGCGGACUUUUAAGUCUGAUGUGAAAGCCUUCGGCUUAACCGGAGUAGUGCAUUGGAAACUGGGAGACUUGAGUGCAGAAGAGGAGAGUGGAACUCCAUGUGUAGCGGUGAAAUGCGUAGAUAUAUGGAAGAACACCAGUGGCGAAAGCGGCUCUCUGGUCUGUAACUGACGCUGAGGUUCGAAAGCGUGGGUAGCAAACAGGA